GGAGUUGUGGCUCAGUGGUAGAGCACUUGCUUAGCAUGUGUGAGGCCCUGGGUUCGAUUCUCAGCACUGCA
rnacentral:tRNA from 1 species